CCAUAUGUUUGCAAGGUUAAACUAGUUUGUCUUAGUUUUAGAAUUAAUUUAUUAUAGUUUUUAAUGGAAUUUAAGUUUAAAUGCAGUUUUAUAUUAGUGUUUUAAAGGCAUCUGCAAUGAAGCAUCAAGAAGGACAUGAGCAUGCCAACCACACUGAGACUGAUAAUUCAGGGAACACAUUUCUGUCACUAACAAAGUGGAUGGUGCGCAAAGGUGGUGGCCACAUUUUGGAGCUGCACCUAGGUUUUGCAGAUGGCUAUGUAUUUCUUUUCUUAUUAAGUUUUUGUUGCCUAAAGAUUCUUUGUGAGGAUAAAUCAAGAGAAUACAACAUAAUGCACUGCAAAAUGUCCUAAGAUAGGAGAACUAGUGAAGAUGAACUGUUCCAGCAUUGGAAGACUGUAUUAAGUGUAAUACAUUCAAUUAUUUAAAUAAAGAAUUUGAUAUUUUGUAA